AUGAUUUUGAUCCUAUCCCCUUUUAAUUUUGCUUUUGUUUCGGUCGUAACUCAUAAUCAUAAUGGAAGGCUUAAUUAUAAUGUUCAAUUACAAUCUCAAUCAUUUGCUUGUUCUCUAAAGUUCACACACUCUCCCGACCCGUCUUAAAAUCUUUUACUUAUACUAUUCCCAUUGGAUGACAUUCUUAAUCCCCCCUCUCAACUGCAUUAA
rnacentral:lncRNA from 1 species